ACCUAUGAUCAAAUCACCCUGAAAUGCCUCUGAUCUAGUCACAUCUUGGAAGCUACGCAGGUUUGAACCAGGGUAGUGCUUGGAUGUGUGACCAUCAUGAUUAACAGGUGUUGUAGGCU
rnacentral:rRNA from 1 species